rnacentral:rRNA from 1 species
AACGAACGCUGGCGGCGCGCCUAAUACAUGCAAGUCGAGCGAGAAGACGUAGCAAUACGUUUGUAAAGCGGCGAACGGGUGAGGAAUACAUGGGUAACCUACCCUCGAGUGGGGAAUAACUAGCCGAAAGGUUAGCUAAUACCGCGUACGCUCCUUGGACUUCGGUUCAGGGAGGAAAGCGAUACCGUGGGUAUCGCGCUCUUGGAUGGGCUCAUGUCCUAUCAGCUUGUUGGUGAGGAACGGCUCACCAAGGCUUCGACGGGUAGCUGGUCUGAGAGGACGAUCAGCCACACUGGCACUGCGACACGGGCCAGACUCCUACGGGAGCAGCAGUAAGGAAUAUUGCGCAAUGGGCGAAAGCCUGACGCAGCGACGCCGCGUGGGGGAUGAAGGUCUCGG